GUGGUAGUUCAGUCGAUUAGAAUACCUGCCUGUCACGCAGGAGGUCGCGAGUUCGAGUCUCGUCCAUACCGCAA
rnacentral:tRNA from 1 species